rnacentral:rRNA from 1 species
AACGAACGCUGGCGGCAGGCCUAACACAUGCAAGUCGAACGCUCCGCAAGGGGAGUGGCAGACGGGUGAGUAACACGUGGGAAUCUUCCUAUCGGUACGGAAUAGCUCAGGGAAACUUGGGGUAAUACCGCAUACGCCCGAAAGGGGAAAGAUUUAUCGCCGAUAGAUGAGCCCGCGUCUGAUUAGCUAGUUGGUGAGGUAAUGGCUCACCAAGGCGACGAUCAGUAGCUGGCUGAGAGGAUGACCAGCCACACUGGGACUGAGACACGGCCCAGACUCCUACGGGAGGCAGCAGUGGGGAAUAUUGGACAAUGGGCGCAAGCCUGAUCCAGCCAUGCCGCGUGAGUGACGAAGGUCUUCGGAUUGUAAAGCUCUUUUGCCAGGGACGAUAAUGACGGUACCUGGAGAAUAAGCCCCGCUAACUUCGUGCCAGCAGCCGCAGUAAG